CCUACGGGAGGCAGCAGUAGGGAAUCUUCGGCAAUGGACGGAAGUCUGACCGAGCAACGCCGCGUGAGUGAAGAAGGUUUUCGGAUCGUAAAGCUCUGUUGUAAGAGAAGAACGAGUGUGAGAGUGGAAAGUUCACACUGUGACGGUAACUUACCAGAAAGGGACGGCUAACUACGUGCCAGCAGCCGCGGUAAUACGUAGGUCCCGAGCGUUGUCCGGAUUUAUUGGGCGUAAAGCGAGCGCAGGCGGUUAGAUAAGUCUGAAGUUAAAGGCUGUGGCUUAACCAUAGUACGCUUUGGAAACUGUUUAACUUGAGUGCAGAAGGGGAGAGUGGAAUUCCAUGUGUAGCGGUGAAAUGCGUAGAUAUAUGGAGGAACACCGGUGGCGAAAGCGGCUCUCUGGUCUGUAACUGACGCUGAGGCUCGAAAGCGUGGGGAGCAAACAGGAUUAGAUACCCGAGUAGUC
rnacentral:rRNA from 1 species